rnacentral:rRNA from 1 species
GAUGAACGCUAGCGGCAGGCUUAAUACAUGCAAGUCGAGGGGCAGCAGGACUGUAGCAAUCCAGUUGCUGGCGCCCGGCACACGGGUGCGGAACACGUACGCAACCUACCCAAAACUGGGGGAUAGCCCGCGGAAACCCGGAUUCAUACCCCGUAACCUUUUUCAGUUGCAUCACUUGAUAAGUAUAACUCCGGCGGUUUUGGAUGGGCGUGCGCCUGAUUAGUUAGUUGGUGCGGGUAACGGCCCACCAAGCCUGCGAUCAGUAACUGGUGUGAGAGCACGACCAGUCACACGGGCACUGAGACACGGGCCCGACUCCUACGGGAGGCAGCAGUAAGGAAUAUUGGUCAAUGGACGCAAGUCUGAACCAGCCAUGCCGCGUGAAGGAUGAAGGGCCUCGGGAUUGUAAACUUCUUUUAUGGGGGACGAAACCCGGAUAUUCUUAUCCGAUUGACGGUACCUCAGGAAUAAGCACCGGCUAACUCCGUG